AUAUUUUUCAGACACCUCUACCUCAAAUAGCACCAUAGCAGUCACCACGUCCUUGAGUAUCACAAUAGAUUCCUCUACUUCUAGCAGCAAAGCAGUUGGCAUUGCUUUGGGUGUGCUUUUGUUUUUGAUCAUCCCAAUAGCCAUCAUGUUUAUCUACAAAAAAAGAAAAAUUCCCAAAUUCUGGAAAAAAGCCCACACAAACACCACAGCUCCUGAAAACAGAAUCCAGUUUACUUCCAUAAAGUAGGUUCUAAUACUAAAUCACUAUGAGAUUUCAGGAACUAUAUAUAUUUAUACUAUAUAUAUAUAUUUUUUUUACACAGAACCAAAGUGUAAGUAUAUUUAAAAACAACACUAUAUUUUUCAUUGGAUCUUUUGUUUGAAUAGACUGUACUAAACAAAUUGCCUUUUUCCUGUUGAGCAGUAGUUUGCCUGUACAAAUUGAAAAUU
rnacentral:lncRNA from 1 species